AUGCAGUCGAACGAACUCUGGUAUUGAUUGGUGCUUGCAUCAUGAUUUACAUUUGAGUGAAUGGCGAACUGGUGAGUAACACGUGGGAAACCUGCCCAGAAGCGGGGGAUAACACCUGGAAACAGAUGCUAAUACCGCAUAACAACUUGGACCGCAUGGUCCGAGUUUGAAAGAUGGCUUCGGCUAUCACUUUUGGAUGGUCCCGCGGCGUAUUAGCUAGAUGGUGGGGUAACGGCUCACCAUGGCAAUGAUACGUAGCCGACCUGAGAGGGUAAUCGGCCACAUUGGGACUGAGACACGGCCCAAACUCCUACGGGAGGCAGCAGUAGGGAAUCUUCCACAAUGGACGAAAGUCUGAUGGAGCAACGCCGCGUGAGUGAAGAAGGGUUUCGGCUCGUAAAACUCUGUUGUUAAAGAAGAACAUAUCUGAGAGUAACUGUUCAGGUAUUGACGGUAUUUAACCAGAAAGCCACGGCUAACUACGUGCCAGCAGCCGCGGUAAUACGUAGGUGGCAAGCGUUGUCCGGAUUUAUUGGGCGUAAAGCGAGCGCAGGGGGUUUUUUAAGUCUGAUGUGAAAGCCUUCGGCUCAAACGGAAGAAGUGCAUCGGAAACUGGGAAACUUGAGUGCCAGAAAAGGACAGUGGGCAUC
rnacentral:rRNA from 1 species